GCUCAAGAUAACACAGAGCUGGGACCCUGGGAACAAAAGGACCUAGUGUUGACUGGAGGCCCAUCAUGUGAUGGACAUCACCCUGGGUUCCUCACGUGCCUAAGUGUUCUCGCUUAUCUCCCACAAGAACCUCAGGGUCGUUUGAGAAUUGUAAUGGAUGCCUAUUGAAUGAAUGAUUGAAUGGAUGACUGUUAAUUGCACGCCUUCCUUUUUAGUCAUUUAUACACGGCCCGUAUCUUUUGCAUCUCUCUGUAGAAUCCUGUUCUUUCACCACUUCUGUUUUCUUAAACCUAUGGUAUCCAUUCAGAAUGACCCCUAACUGUGAGGAUCCACUGAAAGAACUGCAUUCAUGUCCCUGUUGUCUAAAAGGAAGUCAAGAAUCCAAAGCUCAGAGUACAAAGAGUAGAUUUUGUGAAUUUCUCAACUCGAGCCCAAAACCCUAGCAUAUAAACAGUAAUCUGCGUGUUUAUAUUCUUAGCUUUCCAGAGAGACUGAGGGGCAUGGAAUGUGUGAUUCUUGUUCCUUCUUCAUGGGAGUCACAUUCUUGUCAAGCGUGCAAAUGGAAAAUAAUCCUAUACUCCAGCGACAAAGCGGAAUAACAUGCCGUGUCUGGAAACAAAAGAAGAUUAUGGGCCAGGGAUCCAUGAGGUUUCAAGAGAGUCUACUGAUGAAUGAAGUUGGAAGGAGUUGACACACGGUCAGAGAUGGUUAACAUCCAGAAAUUCUUACAAAGUAACAGCAAUUCUUUUCCAUUAAUCCCGCCUUGCCUCUUUGAUCUUGAAUGGUACCAUGGCUACAAGUUAAGUGCAGAGUUACCCUGGCAUUAAAGGGCCCCAAAGACCUUGCCUUGGAGAAGCAUUCUUCGAGAACUUGGAAGAUUAAAAAUAACAACGAUAAUAAAAACAAACAAA